rnacentral:rRNA from 1 species
CUCCACAUUUGUACCACCCUGAAUGUGCCUGAUUUCAUCUGAUCUUGGAAGCUAAGCAGGGUCGGGCCUGGUUAGUACUUGGAUGGGAGAUCACCUGAGAAUACUUGGUGCUGUAGGCU